GCUUGCACCUUUCAAGCGAGUGGCGAACGGGUGAGUAACACGUGGAUAACCUGCCUCAAGGCUGGGGAUAACAUUUGGAAACAGAUGCUAAUACCGAAUAAAACUUAGUAUCGCAUGAUACAAAGUUGAAAGGCGCUACGGCGUCACCUAGAGAUGGGUCCGCGGUGCAUUAGUUAGUUGGUGGGGUAAAGGCCUACCAAGACAAUGAUGCAUAGCCGAGUUGAGAGACUGAUCGGCCACAUUGGGACUGAGACACGGCCCAAACUCCUACGGGAGGCUGCAGUAGGGAAUCUUCCACAAUGGGCGAAAGCCUGAUGGAGCAACGCCGCGUGUGUGAUGAAGGCUUUAGGGUCGUAAAGCACUGUUGUAUGGGAAGAAAUGCUAGAAUAGGGAAUGAUUCUAGUUCGACGGUACCAUACCAGAAAGGGACGGCUAAAUACGUGCCAGCAGCCGCGGUAAUACGUAUGUCCCGAGCGUUAUCCGGAUUUAUUGGGCGUAAAGCGAGCGCAGACGGUUGAUUAAGUCUGAUGUGAAAGCCCGGAGCUCAACUCCGGAAUGGCAUUGGAAACUGGUUAACUUGAGUGUUGUAGAGGUAAGUGGAACUCCUGGGUUAAACG
rnacentral:rRNA from 1 species